GAAAUGCGAAAAGUCAUGUGAAUUGCAGAAUUCAGUGAAUCAUCGAAUCUUUGAACGCACAUUGCGCCCCCUGGUAUUCCGGGGGCAUGCCUGUUCGAGCGUCAUUUCACCACUCAAGCCUCGCUUGGUAUUGGGCGACGCGGUCCGCCGCGCGCCUCAAAUCGACCGGCUGGGUCUUUCGUCCCCUCAGCGUUGUGGAAACUAUUCGCUAAAGGGUGCCGCGGGAGGCCACGCCGUAAAACAACCCCAUUUCUAAGGUUGACCUCGGAUCAGGUAGGGAUACCCGCUGAACUUAAGC
rnacentral:misc_RNA from 1 species